AAAAAAAAACAAAAAAACAAACAAACAGCAAGACAACAAGAUGUAUGUGGAUCCAGGCUUAUUAGACCGCCAUUAAGAUUUCUCCCAUACAAGACUUCUACACAGAACCAGCCAAACAAACAUUUUAAUGGAGAUUUUGCACAACAGGAUUUUGGAACUAGGUGUCCGCGCUGCUGGGGAGGAUGUUGGCUUCAAGAAUUGUUGAGACCAGAUUAAGCAUUGAAGACCGCACUUGCUUAUAUCCAUCCAAUAUUGCUGCUGCCAGACAACAGGACCAAUCCAAAUUCAGGUACAACAACAACCCAUGGAUUCUACAUGGCAACAGCCCAGUAACCAGACCUGGACAAAAUCACCAGGAGAAAGGUGAAGACCAAAGCACCCAAAUGAAGUAGUUCAAAGUUUUGAUGACAGCGUCCAUUUAGCUACUGAUUCCUGUCAUCUGUGAUGUCGGCUACUGCAAUCUUCAGCUCACAGACACUUUGCAGAUAUAAAUCAAACUGAAAUUG